rfam:Tupaia chinensis contig59452, whole genome shotgun sequence.
AAAUUGGUUUUCUUCAAAACCAUCACUUUGAAGAAUGAUAUAAUUU